rfam:Triticum aestivum genome assembly, contig: Triticum_aestivum_CS42_TGACv1_scaffold_211683_3AS
GAAGUACUCCCUCCGUUCCGAAUUACUUGUCUUAGAUUUGUCUAGAUACGGAUGUAUUUAAUAUUAAAAUGAGUCUAGAUACAUCCGUAUUUAGACAAAUCCAAGACAACUAAUUUAGAACGGAGGGAGUAUACU